rnacentral:tRNA from 1 species
AGCAAAGUAAGCUAAAAAAGCUAUUGGGCUCAUAACCCAAAAAUGUUCUCCUUUGCUU